GGGCGUAAAGAGCUCGUAGGUGGUUCGUUACGUCGGAUGUGAAAAUCUGGGGCUCAACCCCAGACCUGCAUUCGAUACGGGCGAUCUAGAGUGUGGUAGGGGAGACUGGAAUUCCUGGUGUAGCGGUGGAAUGCGCAGAUAUCAGGAGGAACACCAAUGGCGAAGGCAGGUCUCUGGGCCAUUACUGACACUGAGGAGCGAAAGCGUGGGGAGCGAACAGGAUUAGAUACCCUGGUAGUCCACGCCGUAAACGGUGGGCACUAGUUGUGGGAACCUUCCACGGCUUCUGCGACGCAGCUAACGCAUUAAGUGCCCCGCCUGGGGAGUACGAUCGCAAGAUUAAAACUCAAAGGAAUUGACGGGGCCCCGCACAAGCAGCGGAGCAUGCGGCUUAAUUCGACGCAACGCGAAGAACCUUACCAAGGCUUGACAUAUACCGGAAUAUGGCAGAGAUGUCAUAGCUGUAAAAGGUCGGUAUACAGGUGGUGCAUGGUUGUCGUCAGCUCGUGUCGUGAGAUGUUGGGUUAAGUCCCGCAACGAGCGCAACCCUCGUUCUGUGUUGCCAGCAUUUAGUUGGGGACUCACAGGAGACUGCCGGGGUCAACUCGGAGGAAGGUAAU
rnacentral:rRNA from 1 species